AUUGAACGCUGGCGGCAGGCCUAACACAUGCAAGUCGAACGAGUGGCGGACGGGUGAGUAAUGUCUGGGAAACUGCCCGAUGGAGGGGGAUAAAUACUGGAAACGGUAGCUAAUACAGCAUACCAUCGGAAGUGCCCAGAUGGGAUUAGCUAGUAGGUGGGGUAACGCCUAAUCUAGGCGACGAACCCUAACUGGUCGGAGAGGAUGACCAGCCAAACUGUAACUGAGACACGGUCCAGACGCCUACGGGAGGAAGCAGUGGGGAAUAUUGCAAAAUGGGCGCAAGCCUGAUGCAGCCAUGCCGCGUGUAUGAAGAAGGCCUUCGGGUUGUAAAGUACUUUCAGCGAGGAGGCGUUACUCGCAGAAGAAGCACCGGCGAACUCCGUGCCAGCAGCCGCGGUAAUAC
rnacentral:rRNA from 1 species